UACGGGGGGGGCAAGCGUUGUUCGGAAUUAUUGGGCGUAAAGGGCUCGUAGGCGGUUUGUCGCGUCGGGAGUGAAAUCCACUGGCUUAACUGGUGGCUUGCUUUCGAUACGGGCAGACUGGAGGUAUGCAGGGGAGAACGGAAUUCCUGGUGUAGCGGUGAAAUGCGCAGAUAUCAGGAAGAACACCCGUGGCUAAGGCGGUUCUCUAGUACGGUACUGACGCUGAGACGCGAAAGCGUGGGGAGCGAACAGG
rnacentral:rRNA from 1 species